ACAUGUUGCCGACACCUGUCUUUCCCAGGACGGGAGGGCCUUUAUGACGUAGAACCAGCCGGAGACAGAUCUGACAGGGUUGCUGACAAGGACUGGGCUGCACGCUGGGAGCAACACCACGGGCCAACACAAACAAGACUUUCUCUCCUCUCUGGGCGUGCAGCAAUGGCUACAGCUGGCAGCUGAGAAGUCUCAAGCUGUUAAUUAAGUCUGCCUCGCUCAGCACGCUUCCAUUUUCUGAGACCCGGUCCAAAGCAGACGCCUCCUAAUUGUUAUCGAGUCGGCAUGGAGAAAGUCUGAGCAGCAACAAGCUCAAAGAAUAAAGCUUCCUCUGAGGCAACGGGAAUUGGGCGAGGAGCAGCAGAACCAGAAGAGUUACAGAGGGGGUAAAGUCAGCAUGCUACAAAGAACAUUUGAAAUGGCCCAUUUAACAGCACUGUACUGCGCUCCCGGCCCAGGGCGCCAUUUGCAUAUCUCCGAUCGGAUGAAGAUGGAUGGAGAAAAUCAGUGUCAGUGAGAUGAGCAUUUUAUCAAGGUUACGCUAUCCUCCAAACUCUUAAAACCUCUUUAUCUCAUCUCUGUUGUCAGAAUAUUAACUUAUCAACACCAGCCUUUUGUUGAAGUGAAAGGACGGAGCGACGGGGUUUAUCUGCUGGAGGAGAGGCGACACGCCGGCCAGCCGGCUUCCAGAGGAGCAACGACAUUUAUUUCAAAAUGAUUUCAUCAUGAAAUGUAAGACAAGGGCUAAUGGUGUCCAUCAGAAUUUCCUCAAACUGAUGUUCAUUUUUCAUUGUUUUAUCUUAUAGUAAGUGUGUAAACAUACACAGAUGAAUUCAACAUAAAGUUAUAUUAACUGUUUUCUGAUUAGCCUGCAGGUUCUGUUGCUAAACAGCAAGCCAAAAUCACUACCUGUUCACCAAACAGGGUGCUGUUCAUUAUGGCCAAACUACGGUGGCCCCGACAGGCAAACUGUUUCAGCAAAUCAAAUUUAAAAACACAACAACAUAUUCUAAAACCCAGCACAACUACAAAUUACAAAACAUAAUAACAUUAACAAAACGGAAGUGAUAGGCAUCGCUGAUUGGACAACAACACUUUAAACAUUAGAAGCAGAAGUUAUUCUGGCAUUGGUACAGGCAGGCAGUCACAGCACUACGUAUUGCCCAAACUGUGAAAAAGAACAAAGCUGAACAAAGGUCCAAAGAAUGUCCCGACUGAAAACAUUCUUGGAAAGUGGUAGAUAUGUUUCCAUCACCAGUAGCAUUCAUACUUUCACCAAAAUAGCUGAAGCCAGAAGAACUUCUGGUUCUUAAGUCAAAAUUGCUGUCAUCCAGUCAGAAAUGUCUUAGGCUUCCCUCUAAGACCUACUUCUUCCGUUUUGUUAAUGUUGUUUUUAAAUUUGUAGUUGUGUUUAGUGAUUUGUUGAUGUGGUUUGUACUUCAGGGCCACCGAACCAAACAUCCCUCAACUCACCCUCUCUCAUCCUACACAUGGAACGUUGUUUCAGAAAACAUGAUUCUUUCAGAUGCAAUUUUUCAACCAGAGAUCAAACUGCACCUGCAUACAUGCUGAAUCAGAUGCAAUAUCUAAUCCUGGUAAGAAGGACAGCUUCUUCUGAUUAAUUGUCGUUUGAUGGACUUUAAAUUGUUUAGAACCUGUACUCAUUCCCAGAUUGAUGAGUGGCAACAGAUGCUUCUCUAUACUCUCUGUUGAUGUCUUGCCCCGUUUGCAUUGGAUUACCAUACUCUGUUCCAAGGUUGAAAAACUCCAGCUUUUCUAGCUGCUACUUUCCCCUUUAAAGCUCUUCACACACAGCUUUUGUAU